UCGUGUUGGGACAAGCUUCUUCAAGGUAAGGGUAUAUAAGGAACUGGCGUUACUAAGCGAUCACACUCACAAUACAAUCUUGGACGGCUCUUCGAGAGUGCUGAAGACGCUGUUGCACCCCUCCCCUUUGGGGUAGGGUAUUGCACCCAGUGUGACAGACACGAAGGAGAAUCCACGUCCAAGAUGGCGGUGGGUGUCACGUGACCACGUAGGUCACUCCCAAACGUCCAUCAUGCUACACAACUGCCAAACAUCAACGACGAUCACGUACAUGGUGACGUCUUUUCAUCUCAUAGCUGAAUGUCUCAACGUCACCUAGUUGCUACCGCAACGGCGACGCCUCCAUCGUAUCUAUGAAGUCAACACGUCAUCGACUCCUGUCUCUCGAAGUCAUAGGUCCAUAAGAUCAUCGCCCAACCUGGACCCAUUCCUGCGAUUCGAUGUCACUCCAUCACUUUGAAGUCAGAGGUCAAGGUCACCAAAUGACCUUGACAUAUUCCUGCUCUCCGAUGUUUGAGAACUUUUUGUGUAUUUUGUGAAAGCUAUCGAUGACCAUUUAUCAGAGGUCACGACAGAGGUCAAGGUCAUCGAUGUAGGCCAAAAGGACAUGAGUUUAAUCACAAUCUGAGAAGCUUUGGUGACAAGAAAGCGAAACAUACUGACGAACAAUUCUUUACAGUAUAACGAAACGGAAGGACAGUAGUCAUCAUGACGUCAUCAAAAUAACAUUUAACUGUUCGUCUCUUUAAACUCACAGCGCAAAUUUAGAUAUUGUAAAUUCUCCCAACUGUGACAGAUAUGACAAUAAUGAAUGACUAUACUACUAAAUAAGUUUCACUUCAAACAUAUCUCAUAGGCAUUACAUCCUAACUUUUAAAUGUCAUUCAAAACGUGUCAAUUUCAUACAGAUACUUGUCCAUUUCACAGUAUUGUAAACCGAUCCAGUAUUUACCACAGCGGUUACGUAUUCACAUUUUGUUGGACUCAUUGUUAAUUUCAUUUUCCAUACAGUCACCGUGUACUUGAUCUGACAUAUAUCUACUAACAUUGUAUCUACUAACAUAUGAGGGACCGUUCCAUUGGUCCCAUUCCUUAUCCAAACCGUCCAAAACUGUACAUAAAUGAAUAUAUUCAACUAUUUAUUGUAGGUACAGAUUAAUACGUCAUCAUGUGAUACGAGGUAUUGAAACCCAACCGCAGACGAAACGAACUUUGGGCCUAUCUGUUUUUAAAAAUUACACGCAGAAAUUCUCUGACAAAGUGCCAUUUUUUUAGUGAAAAUGUUUUACUUUCGAUUUUAAUUUAACUGUGGUUGACAGUUUCUCGUAUCACGUGACCAUAGCGUGAUGUACAUAUGCUUUGUAAAUAUGCUUAUAAAUUAAUAUAUAUUUUUGUAUGUUUAUUUUUUUAUCAAAUCUGUGAGUUAUUUAUAACUUUUGGCUGUAUGUGGAAAAGUUCGUCAUUGAUACUCUCCGCUGUCAUAUAUGCUGUUGUCUGUGAUAUUUGUAAAAUAUGUAUUUUAUUAAUAAAAGUGUGAAUAGAUA